rnacentral:rRNA from 1 species
AUGGCCAAAUACAUGAGGAACGGUGUCCAAGCAGUUAUACUACUUUCUUUUGUCAUUGUGGUGUGCUUCGCCUGUCUUGGAUGUGCAAAGGGUGAAAGCAUCAACGACAAGGGGAGCAACGGGAUGAUCGAAGUAGUCCGGCCCCCUUGUUAUAAAGACCAUCACCAGCCCUCAAGCCUGCAAUAUUGUUGUCAAACGGAUAAGAUAUGUUGGGUAGACCUCGGGGAAUGCUUCACAAACUGCCCGUGCAAGAUUAAUUGCCCACUGCCACCAGCAACACAGUAG